ensembl:antisense 1600020E01Rik RIKEN cDNA 1600020E01 gene
GUUCCAGCUGGGGACUCUUCUGAUGGGAACCACCUGUUCCUGGUCUUUGCGCGCUUUGGAUUUCCCCAGUCCUUCAGUCCUUUCAGUUUUGAAAUGAAACCUGCUCUCCUGGCUAAGGUCAGGUCCAAGAGGACUUUGACAGUUCACACCGGCUUGUUUUUUUCUUAGAGCCAGCUGGUACCAUCUUUAUGAUACUAAUCUCUGGACACGUGCAGAUGGCACAGGAGGUGCACGCUUCGGUCCAUUCUGAGCUCCCCGCACUGCCCUGGUGUCUCAGUACAGUUGCCUGAGUUCUCCAUACUCGAGGCAUCCCCCAUCCCCCCGCCAGGCACUUGAAGAAAAAGCAGCUAACAUGUGUCCGGACAGCUGGGGGAGACUCGGGCCUCUGAGGCACAGCAAGGACAAAGCCUGAGACAUUAUCAACACGAAGAAGUAUGAGAUGAGACAGAAGUGUCCCGUGAUGAGACAGAAGUGUCCUGGAGGAAAGAGAUCAAAAGCGAGGAGGAGCUUGGGGGCCCAGAAGCGCGGGCAGGAUCAGAUUUCUCCUGUGUCCGUCCAUGGCUGGAUCGGUGGAGAUUGCGUGGAGAUGUUUGCAGCUCAUCCAGAGCACGUUUAAUCUAUAUUUAGAAAACAACCAAAAGGAAUUUAAAAGUUGAGCCUGUGACUAAAAUUUUUAGCCCGUGACUAUGAUAAUUUUUUUUAAAAAGGUUUAGUAGCUAGUGGUAAUUAUAACUGCUACCAAGGCCUAAUAACUUAUCAGUUCAACUUUGAACUCUGAAGUCUUAGUGUUGUGUGUGGUCUAUAAAUCUCAUUUUUCACAUGCCUUAAAUCACUUCCUCAGAACUUUACAACUUAGGUUCACACACCUUAAAUUAUGUCCUUAGACCUUUACAAGUUACAUACAUUUUUUUAAAGAUUUAUUUAUUGUUAUAUGUAAGUACACUAUAGCUGUCCUCAGACACACCAGGAGAGAGCGUCAGAUCUCAUUAUGGAUGGUUGUGAGCCACCAUGUGGUUGCUGGGAUUUGAACUCAGGCCCUCUGGAAGAGCAGUCAGUGCUCUUAACCGCUGAGCCAUCUCACCAGCCCAAGUCGCAUACACUUUAAACUUCUUUUUUAAUCUGGAAAUAUCUGAUCAUUUCCAUGAGACAGAAGAGCUAGAUUACUGGGCGCAGUCACUGGAGGGCAACUUCUUUUAGAUAAAGGGACAGUGACAAAGCUGUGGUCAGCAGCAACAGCAGCAGCAGGAUAGCUUCAGUUGGCUUUUACACUGAAACCUGUUUUGUCAGUUUCUCUUUUUCUGCAAGAGGCUUGUUACUCUAGGAAAACCACACCUGGCCUUUACAUGUGAAACUAAUUCAGGCUGGCUGCUAAUUGAGUUUCAGUUUUAAAACCCUUAUUUUUUUUUUAAAUUUAAUUAAAAUAUUUUAUUCAUUUAUUUUGUCAGUAUCAGAGGACAAUUUGCAGAAAUGGGUUCUCUCCUUCCACCAUGUGGACCCUGGGCUUGGUCACUGGGCUUGGUGGCAGGCUCCUUUAUACCAGGUGAGCCACUUCUCUGGCUCCUAAAGCCCUUUUUAUUAAAGAGACUUAGGUAACUAAACUAUUAUUAUUAUUAAUUUAUUUUUAUUUUAUGUGCACUGGUGUUUUGUCAGCAUGUGAGUCUGUGUGAAGGUGUCAGACUUUAGAGAGAUAAAGAAAUCAUUUAAACUGACCAGGGCCAGUUGUGCUGCUGAAGGUGGGAGCUCCGUCAUUCAUUGUUGGGGUUCCUUUACCUUCAUGGGUGCCGGUGAGAAGACUCAAGACUGCUUCUUGAUGCUGUCAAGGGUAGACUCUAACAUGGAUGGGACACAGCGGCCUGACUCCAUCCAGGCAGGAGGAUGAAGAGCAGCCAGUUCGGGAUCCCAUGAGGGGACUCUGCUUUUCCGAGGGGAGGAGAGAGCCCUGCUUGCCACGUGGUCUGAGGUGUUUGAGCAGAGGUUGAAGGGACCACACCAUGUGUAAUAAAGCCCCUUUGUUUCUGUACUGCCCCA